GUCACGUGAAAAGUUCAUUGUACUUAAUAAUUUGACAAGAAGAUUUAUGUAGUUUAUAUUAAUAAUGCUUUUGAUCGUGUUUACAUUUAUGUUUUUGACUGGAGAAUCGCACGGAAUAGAGUGUUUACAUUGUACAGACGCCGUACUGAACAGUUCUUCUAUCCCAUCUGCAGUACAAUUCCUCCUGUCUACAUUUGAAUCGACUUACAGAACACCAGAAUGUGAAAAUGCGCAAAAUGCUCGGGCGGCUUCAGAUGUUACAUUGAACACGUGCACGGACGCUCCUGGUCCCGGACAGGUCAAUAGAUGUGGAAGACUCGUAGGAACACUGAGGGUCUCGAUAGACCCUCCAUUGAUCGAUAAAAUAGAAUUGCCUAUCCAUUUUCACGUCAGAGGAUGUUUCCUAGUAGAGCAGUCAUUAGGAGGAGGAGGUUGCUACAGAGAUAAGCGAAUCAUUAAUCAGCAGAGAGGGGUUUUAUCUAAUGUAUUGAAAGGAAUAUCUUUUUUGCAACUCGGAGAAUUCAAUGGUGUGCUCUGUAUAAAUGGACCAAGUAACUUAGAUGCAUGGGGAACCAAUGGGACAAUCAGACAUGCUUUUUCCUGGGCGUCUUUAUUUCUUUGUGCUAUUGUUUCAAUGGUUUUUCCUAACAAAACAUAUUAAAAAUAAUGUAUUUGUAUAUACAAUGCCACUUAUGACAAGUGCUUCUCAUGUUUUGAAAAGUUUUGAUUGGAAAAUUACUACAUUCCUUUCACUUGCGUUUACGUAUUAUGGUAUACCGUUGUCCGUCCGUCGGUCGUCAACAUGUCGGACAAUAACUCAAAAAGACUGUAACCAAUUUUUAUGAAACUUUGGUGAAUUGUUUAUAUUUAUUAAUGUAAGCUCCCUUUCGAUUUUUAUAAAUUUUAAAUUUUACAUUUCGGAGUUAUGUUAUUUAAUUCAUAAAUAAGAGGAUAUUUUCCAGUUUUCGGACAAUAACUCAAAAAUACUUUGAGUAGUUUAAUAAAACUUUGGUGACAGGUUUAUAUCUAUUGAAAUAAGCUCUCUUUUUUUGAGGAUUAAAUAUUAUGGAUCUUUAUUCGUUGAAAAAGCGACGGGUGUAUCAUGCACUUAUGGUGCAGCUCGUUAUUUUUAUAUGCCUUUUAAUUUAUAGUUUUUUGUUGUUAUCUAUUAUAUAUGUGCUUGUGAGUCUGGAGCUUUCCUGAUAAUUUUUCAACUAAAAAUGUAUCAAGCGCUGAGUAAUUUUAUACACACUUUACGUUUAAAUUACUAUAGAAUAAGGAGAUCUGAUUAUCAAUAAUACAACUAUACAUCAGAUACCAAAUGACAUUGAUGAACUUAGCAUCUUUAGAUAACUGUGUGUCUUUUAACAAUGAACACCCAACAAACCCAUAUCGUGAGCUAUUAAUGCCCCGUCACAAUUUGUUAGCAGUGACCUCUCUUUGUUGAAAUUUAAUGAAAAACAAUACAUUUAUAAUAUUCUAGUUUCAGCUAUUAUGUUUUAUUGAUUACUAACAAAAACAAAUUAAAAAGAAUAUAUAUCCAUACAUUCAAUACAAUUUACAAACUUUAAACUUACCGAUCAGUCUUUUUUACUCCUUUAUAUUUAAAAACCCCAUAAAACAAGGCAAUGUGGAUUAUUUUUCUAAGUUUGAUAAUGUGGAGAACAAUAUUUGAAGCUCUAAGUCACCUUAUAUGGUGAAUGUAUUAAACAGAAAGUAUAAAGCAUGUAGAUCUGUCAUAUAAGCAAAAUGCUGCAAAAUAACAAAAGCAUCAACUUUUUGACAAAA